CCUACGUGACGCUGCAGUGGGGAAUAUUGGACAAUGGGCGAAAGCCUGUUCCAGCCAUGCCGCGUGUGUGAAGAAGGCCUUCGGGUUGUAAAGCACUUUCAGUGGGGAAGAAAGCCUUGGGGCUAAUACCCUCGAGGAAGGACAUCACCCACAGAAGAAGCACCGGCUAACUCCGUGCCAGCAGCCGCGGUAAUACGGAGGGUGCGAGCGUUAAUCGGAAUUACUGGGCGUAAAGCGCGCGUAGGCGGUCUGAUAAGCCGGUUGUGAAAGCCCCGGGCUCAACCUGGGAACGGCAUCCGGAACUGUCAGGCUAGAGUGCAGGAGAGGAAGGUAGAAUUCCCGGUGUAGCGGUGAAAUGCGUAGAGAUCGGGAGGAAUACCAGUGGCGAAGGCGGCCUUCUGGACUGACACUGACGCUGAGGUGCGAAAGCGUGGGUAGCAAACAGGAUUAGAUACCCGGGUAGUC
rnacentral:rRNA from 1 species